GGCCAAAUCACAUUGAAACCUUGUACGACCACCGAAGUUAAGCAAUGUCGAGCCUGAUCAGUACCUAGAUGAGGGACCGCUUGGGAAUACCAGGUGCUG